AACGAACGCUGGCGGCAGGCUUAACACAUGCAAGUCGAGCGCCCCGCAAGGGGAGCGGCAGACGGGUGAGUAACGCGUGGGAAUCUACCGUACCCUACGGAAUAGCUCCGGGAAACUGGAAUUAAUACCGUAUACGCCCUACGGGGGAAAGAUUUAUCGGGGUAUGAUGAGCCCGCGUUGGAUUAGCUAGUUGGCGGGGUAAAGGCCUACCAAGGCGACGAUCCAUAGCUGGUCUGAGAGGAUGAUCAGCCACAUUGGGACUGAGACACGGCCCAAACACCUACGGGAGGCAGCAGUGGGGAAUAUUGGACAAUGGGCGCAAGCCUAAUCCGGCCAUGCCGCGUGAGUGAUGAAGGUCUUAGGAUUGUAAAGCUCUUUCACCGAUGAAGAUAAUGACGGUAGUCGGAGAAGAAGCCCCGGCUAACUUCGUGCCAGCCGCCGCGGUAA
rnacentral:rRNA from 1 species